CAGUAGCCACGGGAAUACGGAGGGUGUAAGCGUUAUCCGGAUUUAUUGGGUUUAAAGGGUCCGUAGGCGGAUCUGUAAGUCAGUGGUGAAAUCUCACAGCUUAACUGUGAAACUGCCAUUGAUACUGCAGGUCUUGAGUAAAUUUGAAGUGGCUGGAAUAAGUAGUGUAGCGGUGAAAUGCAUAGAUAUUACUUAGAACACCAAUUGCGAAGGCAGGUCACUAAGAUUUAACUGACGCUGAUGGACGAAAGCGUGGGGAGCGAACAGGAUUAGAUACCCCGGUAGUCCCUGUCUCUUAUAC
rnacentral:rRNA from 1 species